CCUACGGGUGGCAGCAGUGAGGAAUAUUGGUCAAUGAGCGUAAGCCUGAACCAGCCAAGUCGCGUGAGGGAUGAAGGGUCUAUGGAUCGUAAACCUCUUUUAUAAGGGAAUAAAGUGCGGGACGUGUCCCGUUUUGUAUGUACCUUAUGCAUAAGUAUCGUCUAAAUCCGUGCCAGCAGCCGCGGUAAUACGGAGGAUCCGAGCGUUAUCCGGAUUUAUUGGGUUUAAAGGUUGCGUAGGCGGCCUUUUAAGUUAGCGGUGAAAGUCUGUGGCUCAACCAUAGAAUUGCCGUGGAACCUGGGAGGCUUGAGCAUGUUUGAGGCAGGCGGAAUGCGUGGUGUAGCGGUGAAAUGCUUAGAUAUCACGCAGAACCCCGAUUGCGAAGGCAGCCGGCCAAGCCAUGACUGACGCUGAUGCACGAAAGCGUGGGGAUCAAACAGGAGUAGAUACCCGUGUAGUC
rnacentral:rRNA from 1 species